GGAUGGGCUCGCGGCCUAUCAGCUUGUUGGUGGGGUGAUGGCCUACCAAGGCGACGGCGGGUAGCCGGCCUGAGAGGGCGACCGGCCACACUGGGACUGAGACACGGCCCAGACUCCUACGAGAGGCAGCAGUGGGGAAUAUUGCACAAUGGGCGGAAGCCUGAUGCAGCGACGCCGCGUGAGGGAUGACGGCCUUCGGGUUGUAAACCUCUUUCAGCAGGGACGAAGCGUAAGUGACGGUACCUGCAGAAGAAGCGCCGGCCAACUACGUGCCAGCAGCCGCGGUAAGACGUAGGGCGCGAGCGUUGUCCGGAUUUAUUGGGCGUAAAGAGCUCGUAGGCGGCUUGUCGCGUCGACCGUGAAAACCUGGGGCUCAACCCCAGGCCUGCGGUCGAUACGGGCAGGCUAGAGUUCGGUAGGGGAGACUGGAAUUCCUGGUGUAGCGGUGAAAUGCGCAGAUAUCAGGAGGAACACCGGUGGCGAAGGCGGGUCUCUGGGCCGAUACUGACGCUGAGGAGCGAAAGCGUGGGGAGCGAACAGGAUUAGAUACCCUGGUAG
rnacentral:rRNA from 1 species